rnacentral:lncRNA from 1 species
UGAAUCAGAACCCCCAAUUCUGCUCUGCUCUGUCCUUAGGAUAUUUCGGCAAUAAGCAGUCAGCCGAGUCGUCAAAGCAAGGUGGUCAAGUGACCCCCAACGCCAUAAACUGCCGCCUGAGCCAAAUUUCUUGAGCCCCGGACUGCUGGAAGUCUAGGCAAGCCUUGCCCCGCAAAUGUUCGACGUUUUGCCCCAAUGAACCAACAGGCACUUGUCAAAAAAAAAAAAGAGUCUGGGGAAACAUCAACA